rnacentral:rRNA from 1 species
GUUAAGCGACUAAGCGUACACGGUGGAUGCCCUGGCAGUCAGAGGCGAUGAAGGACGUGCUAAUCUGCGAUAAGCGUCGGUAAGGUGAUAUGAACCGUUAUAACCGACGAUUUCCGAAUGGGGAAACCCGG